AUUGAACGCUGGCGGCAUGCUUUACACAUGCAAGUCGGACGAGUGGCGAACGGGUGAGUAACGCAUCGGAACGUACCGAGUAAUGGGGGAUAACUGUCCGAAAGGACAGCUAAUACCGCAUAUUAUUCGAGCGGCCGGUGUCUGCUUAGCUGGUUGGCGGGGUAAAGGACCACCAAGGCGACGAACCGUAGCGGGUCUGAGAGGAGGAUCCGCCACACGGGGACUGAGAGACGGCCCAGACUCCUACGGGAGGAAGCAGUGGGGAAUUUUGGACAAGGGGGGAAAGCCUGAUCCAGCCAUGCCGGGUGUCUGAAGAAGGACUGCGGGUUGUAAAGGACUUUUGUCAGGGAAGCGGUACCUGAAGAAUAAGCACCGGCUAACUACGUGCCAGCAGCCGCGGUAAUAC
rnacentral:rRNA from 1 species